AACUUUUGGCAACGGAUCUCUUGGUUCUCGCAACGAUGAAGAACGCAGCGAAAUGCGAUAAGUAGUGUGAAUUGCAGAAUUCAGUGAAUCAUCGAAUCUUUGAACGCACAUUGCGCUCCCUGGUAUUCCGGAGAGCAUGCCCGUUUCAGAAUCAAUAAACAUCUCACCAAAACUUGAUGUCUUAGGACAUUGGGUACAGGUGGAUCUGGAUUUUUGCGUUUGGCAAUUAUCUUAAAUUCAUUGUGUGUGCACCAAUUGAUGCGUCGUUUGGUUGUCCAAGUGCAACAGAUUUAUCUAUUUCGCUUAGACAAUUGAUCGAUGUUCUUGAUGCGCAUGCUCAACCAUUAAUACGGAAUUCAAAUUAGUUUGAUUUGGACCUCCGAUAACUUGAUCUGAAAUCGGGCAAGAAAACCCGCUGAACUUAAGCAUAUCAAUAAGCGGAGGAAAAGAAACUAACAAGGAUUCCCCUAGUAACGGCGAGUGAAGCGGGA
rnacentral:misc_RNA from 1 species